CCUACGGGAGGCAGCAGUGGGGAAUAUUGCACAAUGGGCGAAACCCUGAUGCAGCGACGCCGCGUGAGUGAAGAAGUACCUCGGUAUGUAAAGCUCUAUCAGCAGGGAAGAAAAUGACGGUACCUGACUAAGAAGCACCGGCUAACUACGUGCCAGCAGCCGCGGUAAUACGUAGGGGGCAAGCGUUAUCCGGAUUUACUGGGCGGAAAGGGAGCGUAGCCGGUGCUGUAAGUCCGGAGUGAAAGCCCAAGGCUUAACCAUGGUACUGCAUUGGAAACUGGGGAGCUGGAGUGCAGGAGGGGCAGGCGGAAUUCCUAGUGUAGCGGUGAAAUGCGUAGAUAUUAGGAGGAACACCGGCGGCGAAGGCGGCUUGCUGGACCGUAACUGACGUUGAGGCACGAAAGCGUGGGGAGCAAACAGGAUUAGAUACCCUAGUAGUC
rnacentral:rRNA from 1 species